rnacentral:rRNA from 1 species
AGCUUUAGGGCUAGCCUCGCAUUAGUUUACCGGAGGUAGAGCACUGAAUGGUCUAGGGGGCCUCACCGCCUACCGAAACCUAUCAAACUGCGAAUGCCGGAUAAAUGAUGUGCGGGAGUCAGGCCGCGAGAGAUAAGUUCCGCGGUCAAAAGGGGAACACCCCAGAUCGUCUGCUAAGGUCCCCAAGUACGCGUUAAGUGGGAAAGGAUGUUGGAUUGCACAGACAACCAGGAUGUUGGCUUAGAAGCAGCCACACAUUCAAAGAGUGCGUAAUAGCUCACUGGUCGAGUGAUCCAGCGCCGAAAAUGUAACGGGGCUAAAACGCGACACCGAAGCAGCGGGAUGCGUAAGCAUCGGUAGAGGAGCAUUGUGUGAGGAUAGAAGCCAGAGCGGGAGCACUGGUGGACUUCACAGAAGAGAGAAUGCCGGUAUGAGUAGCGAGACCCAUGCGAGAAACAUGGGCGUCGAAGGCCCAAGGUUUCCUGGGGAAGGUUCAUCCACCCAGGGUAAGUCGGGACCUAAGCCGAGGACUGAGGUCGUAGGCGAUGGACAGCAGGUAGAGAUUCCUGCACCACUUACACUUGUUUGACGAAGCAGUGACACAGAAGGAUAGGACGAGCGCGGUGAUGGUCAACCGCGUAGGCGGCACGAGGCUGGGGAGCAGUAAAGUACACUUCCCGUUAAGGCUGAGUGCUGACAGGACCGAAAAAGAGUAGGGAAGCGUCUGAGUUCACGCUGGCGAGAAAAGCUGCUAAGGAGAGUGUGAGUGCCCGUACCGGAAACCGACGCAGGUGGGCGAGGAGAGAAUCCUGAGACGGACGGGAGAACUCUUGUUAAGGAACUCGGCAAAAUGACCCCGUAACUUCGGGAGAAGGGGUGCCUCGAAAGAGGCCGCAGAGAAUAGUCACAAGCGACUGUUUAGCAAAAACACAGGUAUCUGCGAAAGCGAGAGCUGACGUAUAGGUGCUGACGCCUGCCCGGUGCUGGAAGGUUAAGGGGAAGUGUUAGGGGAAACCCGAAGCAGAGAACCGAAGCCCCAGUAAACGGCGGCCGUAACUAUAACGGUCCUAAGGUAGCGAAAUUCCUUGUCGGGUAAGUUCCGACCCGCACGAAUGGUGUAACGACUUGUGAGCUGUCUCAACAGGGGGCCCGGUGAAAUUGAAGUAUGGGUGAAGAUGCCCAUUACCCGCGACUGGACGGAAAGACCCCGUAGAGCUUUACUGUAACCUGACAUUGGAUCUUGAUAACGGAUGCACAGGAUAGGUGGGACGCUGGGAGGUAUGGACUUUGGUCUGUACGGAGCGGACGUUGGGAUACCACUCUUCUGUUAUUGAGAUUCUAACCUCAAGCCGUAAGCCGGAUGAGAGACAGUGUCAGGCGGACAGUUUGACUGGGGCGGUCGCCUCCGAAAGAGUAACGGAGGCGCCCAAAGGUACCCUCAGAAUGGAUGGAAACCAUUCGAAGAGAGCAAAGUCAGAAGGGUGCUUGACUGCGAGACCAACAAGUCGAGCAGGUACGAAAGUAGGGCUUAGUGAUCCGGCGGUAAGAGAGUGGAAUUGCCGUCGCUCAACGGAUAAAAGCUACCUCGGGGAUAACAGGCUGAUCUCCCCCAAGAGUUCACAUCGACGGGGAGGUUUGGCACCUCGAUGUCGGCUCGUCGCAUCCUGGGGCUGAAGCAGGUCCCAAGGGUUUGGCUGUUCGCCAAUUAAAGCGGCACGCGAGCUGGGUUCAGAACGUCGUGAGACAGUUCGGUCCCUAUCCAUCGUGGGCGAAGGACACAUGAGAGGAGCUGCUCCUAGUACGAGAGGACCGGAGUGGACGCAUCACUGGUGCAACUGUUGUCGUGCCAACGGCACAGCAGGGAAGCGAAAUGCGGAUGGGAUAAACGCUGAAGGCAUCUAAGCGUGAAGCCCACCUCAAGAAUAAGUGUCCCAUUCGAAAGAAGUAAGACCCCUGGAAGACUACCAGGUGAUAGGUCAUCGGUGAAAGAGCGGUAACGUUUGGAGCUUGAUGAUACUAAUCGGUCGAGGACUUGAUCUA